AAAGUUGCAGACAAGAUCCAGCUCAUCAAUAAUAUGCUGGACAAAGUCAAUGAGAUGAUUAUUGGUGGUGGAAUGGCUUUUACCUUCCUUAAGGUGCUCAACAACAUGGAGGUAGGAAACAAAUGCCAAGUGGAUGUGAAAUAGCUCUCCAUGAUAAUAGCAGAUUGGCACUUCUCUGUUUGAUGAAGAGGGAGCCAAGAUUGUCAAAGACCUAAUGUCCAAAGCUGAGAAGAAUGGUGUGAAGAUUACCUUGCCUGUUGACUUUGUCACUGCUGACAAGUUUGAUGAGAAUGCCAAGACUGGCCAA
rnacentral:lncRNA from 1 species